UGAGCUCGAUGAGUAGGGCGGGACACGUGGUAUCCUGUCUGAAUAUGGGGGGACCAUCCUCCAAGGCUAAAUACUCCUGACUGACCGAUAGUGAACCAGUACCGUGAGGGAAAGGCGAAAAGAACCCCGGCGAGGGGAGUGAAAAAGAACCUGAAACCGUGUACGUACAAGCAGUGGGAGCCCCACCACUAAGCCAGUGGUGAACUCCACAUACGCAUCCUUUGCUGAGGAUACGGUUAACGGAGCGAAAGCGACGUUCAACCGCAAAAGAAGCAGAGGGGGCUUAGUGGUGGGGUGACUGCGUACCUUUUGUAUAAUGGGUCAGCGACUUAUAUUCUGUAGCAAGGUUAACCGAAUAGGGGAGCCGGAGGGAAACCGAGUCUUAAUUGGGCGUUAAGUUGCAGGGUAUAGACCCGAAACCCGGUGAUCUAGCCAUGGGCAGGUUGAAGGUUGGGUAACACUAACUGGAGGACCGAACCGACUAAUGUUGAAAAAUUAGCGGAUGACCUGUGGCUGGGGGUGAAAGGCCAAUCAAACCGGGAGAUAGCUGGUUCUCCCCGAAAGCUAUUUAGGUAGCGCCUCGUGAAUUCAUCUCCGGGGGUAGAGCACUGUUUCGGCUAGGGGGCCAUCCCGGCUUACCAACCCGAUGCAAACUGCGAAUACCGGAGAAUGUUAUCACGGGAGACACACGGCGGGUGCUAACGUCCGUCGUGAAGAGGGAAACAACCCAGACCGCCAGCUAAGGUCCCAAAGUCAUGGUUAAGUGGGAAACGAUGUGGGAAGGCCCAGACAGCCAGGAUGUUGGCUUAGAAGCAGCCAUCAUUUAAAGAAAGCGUAAUAGCUCACUGGUCGAGUCGGCCUGCGCGGAAGAUGUAACGGGGCUAAACCAUG
rnacentral:rRNA from 1 species